UGGUUGUAUGAAAGGAGAGAAGAUUAGCACUUCUUUCAUAAGGAUGGAAGAGGGCCUAGUGACCUUUAUAACAUACAUACAGUUAAGGCACUGUCACCUACUCUGUAGCAUAUAACCAUGUUU